GAUGAACGCUGGCGGUAUGCUUAACACAUGCAAGUCGAACGGUCACUUCGGUGAUAGUGGCGGACGGGUGAAUAACGCGUGAGAAUCUGUCUUCAGGUCGGGGACAACAGUUAGAAAUGACUGCUAAUACCGGAUGUGCCGAAAGGUGAAAGAUUUAUUGCCUGAAAGAGAGCUCGCGUCAGAUUAGCUAGUAGGUGGUGUAAGAGACUACCUAGGCGACGAUCUGUAGCUGGUCUGAGAGGACGAUCAGCCACACUGGAACUGAGACACGGUCCAGACUCCUACGGGAGGCAGCAGUGGGGAAUUUUCCGCAAUGGGCGAAAGCCUGACGGAGCAAUACCGCGUGAGGGACGAAGGCUUUUGGGUCGUAAACCUCUUUUUCUCAAGGAAGACACAGGACGGUACUUGAGGAAUAAGCAUCGGCUAACUCUGUGCCAGCAGCCGCGGUAAU
rnacentral:rRNA from 1 species